rnacentral:rRNA from 1 species
GUCUGUGAAAUUCCGGGGNUUAACUUCGGGGUGGCAGGCGAUACGGGCAUAACUAGAGUGCUGUAGGGGAGACUGGAAUUCCUGGUGUAGCGGUGGAAUGCGCAGAUAUCAGGAGGAACACCGAUGGCGAAGGCAGGUCUCUGGGCAGUAACUGACGCUGAGGAGCGAAAGCAUGGGGAGCGAACAGGAUUAGAUACCCUGGUAGUCCAUGCUGUAAACGGUGGGCGUUAGGUGUGGGGACCGGUUUGGUUUCUGUGCCGUAGCUAACGCAUUAAGCGCCCCGCCUGGGGAGUACGGCCGCAAGGCUAAAACUCAAAGGAAUUGACGGGGGCCCGCACAAGCGGCGGAGCAUGUGGAUUAAUUCGAUGCAACGCGAAGAACCUUACCUGGGUUUGACAUGCACCAGACGGUUGUAGAGAUACGUACCUCCCUUUGUGGUUGGUGUGCAGGUGGUGCAUGGUUGUCGUCAGCUCGUGUCGUGAGAUGUUGGGUUAAGUCCCGCAACGAGCGCAACCCUUGUCUUAUGUUGCCAGCACUUUGGGUGGGGACUCAUGAGAGACUGCCGGGGUUAACUCGGAGGAAGGUGGGGAUGACGUCAAAUCAUCAUGCCCUUUAUGCCCAGGGCUUCACACAUGCUACAAUGGUUAGUACAACGCGCGGCAAACCUGUGAGGGUGAGCGAAUCGCUGAAAGCUAAUCUCAGUUCGGAUUGGGGUCUGCAACUCGACCCCAUGA